rnacentral:rRNA from 1 species
CAGUCGCCACGGUAAUACGUAGGUGGCAAGCGUUGUCCGGAAUUAUUGGGCGUAAAGCGCGCGCAGGUGGUUUAAUAAGUCUGAUGUGAAAGCCCACGGCUCGACCGUGGAGGGUCAUUGGAAACUGUUAAACUUGAGUGCAGGAGAGAAAAGUGGAAUUCCUAGUGUAGCGGUGAAAUGCGUAGAGAUUAGGAGGAACACCAGUGGCGAAGGCGGCUUUUUGGCCUGUAACUGACACUGAGGCGCGAAAGCGUGGGGAGCAAACAGGAUUAGAUACCCCCGUAGUCCCUGUCUCUUAUAC